rnacentral:lncRNA from 1 species
CGGUGAUGAGUUCAAAGCCGUCUGUUGGCGUGAGGAAAACCUUUGUGACAAAACUCACAGAUUUAAUAAUUACGACACACAGCGGCGCUGAGUCUCUGCUUUACCUUUCAGGACAAGGAGCGAUACACUAUGUACAGAAUGUUCAGCGGUGAGUCUGAGUGAGCGGAGCUCAGCCGUCAAACUGUUCCUCUGCGAUUUCUCCUUUUUCAGCGUGAGACGGCUCUUCGUGAAACACGCAGAGGCCCAGUGAAUAUUCUCUCCUGACUCCACGUCAUUCUUAGCCUUCUAUUUACUGUGGCUUGGUAGCAGGGACUACCUGGGGCCUGUGCAUGGCAGAUGGUAGAUUAGCGCUCUGGAGGUGACAGGCUGGAGCUCCUGCGCCUCAUGUAUUCUGCUUCCUGCGACCUGGAUCAGGUGUGUGUGUGCUGCGUAGACGCACGGGGCCGACGGACACGGAGGGUUCGACAUCUCGGGCCUCGCUGGGUGUGAAGCUGGUGAAGCAGCGUGGGCUUCGCAUUGCGUGUGCAUUCCAGCCUUUCUGUGUGAAGCUGAGAAGUGCUGGAUUUUCCAAACUGGACGUUCCAACCAGGCUUUUUGCUGUUUAUUCGCCAACGAGGCCAGCGUUUGACAUUGGAGGAUCCCACAGCGUGUGCCAUCGCACUCAAACACAGGUUGUGUAGUUCUCAGAACGUGUGCAGAGCUUUCUUCUGGCCGUAUUUUACCCGUCCAACAUGUCACAUGCCAUUUGCUCACUUGCUUUGUAUUUUUCACAAUAACUGGAGGGAAUCUGUGAGUUAAGGAGUGACAACAGAAGUUAACAGCAUGAAGUGAAAUCACAGCUCGCUCUCUCUCGCUCCCUCACCCCAGGGCAGAGCCAUCUGGCCCUGUCACCUCUCCAUUACAGGACGCCAGCUUGUUUUUCUUUUCUUUGUGCUUCAAUAAUAAAAAUUCAUCUUAGAAAAUAGAGGCGUUUUAU